UGGUGUCCUAUCAAGGAACACUUUGUUGAAGGCCUUCAAUGAAUGGUUGCUUCCUUUGCGGACCUUAGUGACAGGUAUAUUGGCAGAGAACAAGAAUGAUUAUGAUCAGCUUGCAGUUGACACUUUAUGCACAAUAAAUCCACUUGAGUUGGUGUUGUACCGGUGCAUUGAGCUUGUAGAAGAUAAGAUAAAGGAAGCCACAUAGGCUAUCCCACUAGCCAAAACUUUUAUCGCUUGCUUCUUUUCAGUAUCCCGUAAUUUAUGAUUCUGCUUUUACUAUUUAUUGCUUGCUUCUUUUCUAUCGAGAUAGUUUCUUUGAUUCUCUCACUGGAUUGGAUUUAAGAGAUAAUGACAAUAGGAUCAUAAUCAAGUUUAUGAUAAUCACCCGUUGAAGCUGCUUGUAAAGGGUUUCCUGCAGACAGAGUCAUGGAAUAAAAGGUCUAGGAACUGCUUUGGCUCUUAUGAAGCAGUAGCAUGGUGCGAACAUGCUUUUGGUGCGAACCGGCCAGUGUUUCCUCCUCAAUGGUUUCAUUUUCUUAGGAAGGGAAGCCCUUACUUGGUACUCUACUAGAUUCAUAUAGAAGUAGCUUGCAAAAUUUAAGGGAAGGAUUUCAACUCUUUUAAUAUCUUAUCUCAGGCUCAACCUGAAAUUUCACCUUCACUCUACUUGUUUUGUAUAUGUUUCAGGGAAGCCCUUACUUGGUACUCUACUAAAUUCAGUCACAUCAUUUGGUUUCUAAUUAGAUGAAAUUCAGUUACAUCUUGAUUAGAAAGACUAAAUUGCAUCCACUCAUCUUGAUUGAAGAAGGAUAUAUAACAAACUGGCUUGAAGCUUCUUAUAUGAAGAGGUGAUUUUUUGUCUACUUCAUUGCAUUCUCAUAUUUGGCCAGGACUUUCCAUGAUAUUGGCCCUAGAGUAGUUUUUAUAGCUCACUUGAGAGAGUAUGUUCUCAAGAACAAUUAGUUAUUAAUAUUAUUAGUAUUGUUUUGGACAAGUUAGUGAAGUGGGUUCAGUAUUGUUAUUCUCUUGGCUGGAAUAUUUGAAUGUAGGUUCUCUUGGCUGGAAUAUGUGAAUGUUGUUGUUCUCAACAUGUGAUUUUUUGCAAGUUUAUUUUUCUUGUAUUUUUUCUUGCUUAUGGGUUCAAACACCCCUCCCCUCCUAUUUAAAAUGCACUGCAAUUUAUGUACAGACCAGAUCAAAUAAAAAAAAAUCCGAAAAGGGCAUAUUUUGUAUACAAUAUUUGCCAAA